rnacentral:rRNA from 1 species
UACGUAGGGUGCAAGCGUUGUCCGGAAUCAUUGGGCGUAAAGCGCGUGUAGGCGGCCCGAUAAGUCCGCUGUGAAAGUCCAGGGCUCAACCCUGGGAUGCCGGUGGAUACUGUCGGGCUCGAGUCCGGAAGAGGCGAGUGGAAUUCCUGGUGUAGCGGUGAAAUGCGCAGAUAUCAGGAGGAACACCAAUGGCGAAGGCAGCUCGCUGGGACGUGACUGACGCUGAGACGCGAAAGCGUGGGGAGCAAACAGG